GACGAACGCUGGCGGCGUGCUUAACACAUGCAAGUCGAGCGGUAAGGCCCUUCGGGUACACGAGCGGCGAACGGGUGAGUAACACGUGGGUGACCUGCCCUUAGCUCUGGGAUAAGCCUGGGAAACUGGGUCUAAUACCGGAUAUGACCUCAUGACGCAUGUUGUGGGGUGGAAAGCCUUGUGCGGCUAGGGAUGGGCCCGCGGCCUAUCAGCUUGUUGGUGGGGUGAUGGCCACCAAGGCGACGACGGUAGCCGGCCUGAGAGGGCGACCGGCCACACUGGGACUGAGACACGGCCCAGACUCCUACGGGAGGCAGCAGUGGGGAAGUCUUGCGCAAUGGGCGAAAGACCUGACGCAGCGACGCCGCGUGAGGGAUGACGGCCUC
rnacentral:rRNA from 1 species